rnacentral:rRNA from 1 species
GACGAACGCUGGCGGCGUGCUUAACACAUGCAAGUCGAACGAUGACGACCGAGCUUGCUCGGUCUGAUUAGUGGCGAACGGGUGAGUAACACGUGAGCAACCUGCCCUUCACUCUGGGAUAACCUCGGGAAAUCGGGGCUAAUACCGGAUAUGAGCUCCUGUCGCAUGGCGGGUGUUGGAAAGUUUUUCGGUGAAGGAUGGGCUCGCGGCCUAUCAGUUUGUUGGUGAGGUAGUGGCUCACCAAGGCGAUGACGGGUAGCCGGCCUGAGAGGGCGACCGGCCACACUGGGACUGAGACACGGCCCAGACUCCUACGGGAGGCAGCAGUGGGGAAUAUUGCACAAUGGGCGAAAGCCUGAUGCAGCGACGCCGCGUGAGGGAUGACGGCCUUCGGGUUGGAAACCUCUUUCAGCAGGGAAGAAGCGAAAGUGACGGUACCGGCAGAAGAAGCGCCGGCUAACUACGU